rnacentral:lncRNA from 1 species
AUGUUUCGAACUCACGACCUCUGCUCUGCCAGAUUUGACAGCGUCCGUCCUUUGCCAUUGGAGAAGUGCCCUGGGGGGCGGAUCCACCAAACCUUUGUCAUAUAUGGGGAAGGUCUAAGCUAUCUUUAUGUGUGUAUAUAUAUUGAUAUACUAGACAAGGGUCGUGACGAUGGAAUAGGUGACAGACUGGUCAGUGGCUCGUGAACUUGGGAUUUUUUUGGUUUAAUCCAGUCUAUGAUUAUUGAAGACAACUGCCAUGUCAGUAUUCAUGCAUCUAUCUCUAAGUACAUUAUAUAUUUAUUUGAAAAUAUAUUUGUUUUUCUUGGUGAAUAUUGAAGCAAAACUUUGAUGGUUUUCUGCAGUACUUACCCACAGUAUACAUGUUGUUAACUUUGCAUGUUUGAGAAAAUGAUACUCCCUAUGUUCCAUUUAUAUAAACCUACUUUAUUUAUUUUCUUGUCCCAAUUAUAUAAUCUUGUUUCUUUAUUGAGCUUGCUUUAUUUUAUUCAUUUACUAAUAUCCUCUUAUUUAAUUUGUCUUGUUAUUGCCAAUUUUUUCCAUUAAUCUUGAAAUUGUAUAAAUAUAAAUAGGGAUAAAUUAAGAAAGUUAUUAGCAAAAAUUGCUUUUUCAGUAACAUUAAAUAAGAUUUAUUAAUCUGCGUGAAAAAUGAAACAAGCCUAUAUAAAUAGGACUGAGGAAGUAACAGUGAAAAAGAAGAAAAAAAAGAAAAAAAACAUGUUUAAAUGUGUUCUGUUGUAUACUAAAGGCGUCCUAGACAAUUAUAUGUCCUCGAUAUUUCUUCGGCCAACGAAUAUGGGACCUGUUACCAAUUUAUUUGAUUCAGUGGUUCAAUGAUCAACUAUUUGAUAUCAUACCAUGAGGAAAGCACUAGACAAAAUGUUUGGUUUUAAUUUGAAAAAACGUAAUUUUUAUUUUAGCUUUUUACUACUAACAAAAGAUAACAUAACAUUAGAAAAUGUCAUGCAAGAAAAGCACGAAGUUAGCUCUAAAUUAUUUUUCUGGUGAUUAAACCAUUGCUCUUCCACUUUUCUUGUAUGGAAAAUAUUGAACAAGCACUUUAGUAUAGAUUAAAUUGGUCACUAAAUAGUAUCAAUGAUUCUAGGAACCAAUCAGAUGACACCUCUUUCUUUUUUGGUUGGUGGUUUGCUGUCAUAUGGACCACACACUCAUAAAUUAUAAUAUAUUAUUUCAUCAUACGCAAAUAAUGCACACAAGUUAAUCAUUGAUAAAGUUUCAAAGAAGGAAGGUAAUAAGGUAUGAUACUCUUUUCUUUUGACUUAAUUAGCCUAUGGUAUGAAUUAUUUCCUAUUAUCGACGAUCUCAUUUCAAAGAAUUACACUGCUUGAGUUUUACGACCAUGGAAAAUUAAUAAGAAAAUUAAAGCUGACUAAUCGUGUAGAUUAAAACUAGAAAGAAAAUAUUUAUUGAACUAGAGAUUACCUGAAGUCCAUGCUGUGUGGUAACUUUUGCUUCUUCUUCUUGCUAUUCACUUCAGUAUCAUCAACAUUGUAUAGAACGGAAGGUUCG